rnacentral:rRNA from 45 species
GCAGAAUUCCGCGAAUCAUCGAGUCUUUGAACGCAAGUUGCGCCCGAGGCUUGUCCAAGGGCAUUUCCGCUAGAGCGUCACC